GCCAGGCUGCAAACAUACAAGCACACAGACCUGCGCACUAGAACAUAAACAGGGAUAUUUAAUUUCUUCCUUUUAAUUUUUUUUUUGCACACUAAUAAAUAAACUACUGCAACAACAACAGAAAAAGCAAGCGGAAUCCAAAUAUCCUCUCGGUUGCCAUUUGGUUAUAUAAGAAGGACGAAUUAAGGCGAGCUGGCGGUAAAGAGUCGCUCCAAAUCCGAGCCCCUGAACCGGCCUUAAAUCAAAAGGGAAAAAGUGGGGCAGAGUUCUGCCAGCAGCAAACAUGAUCAGCUUCUGGGGAGAGGACUGUCACAGGUCACAGAACUCGGCCCAGCUAAAAGUCCGCAGCCCCUGCACACCUCCGGGAACCCUUAUUCGUUGUUGUUUUGCAGGGAUGGGCUCCAGGCAGCUUCCUUUGUAAGGUGCCCCCCACCCCCAGCCCGCGGGUCGAGCUUCUGGGGCAGGGAGCAAACACCCGCCCCAAGGGACUGGACCACCAGCGUCCCCUUGCCCAGGAAUUUAGGAUUGGGGUGGAGAAAAAGAAAACAGUGUUUAUGAAGAGCCAGAAAGCGUUCUGUGAGAUACACUUCGAUUCCUGCUGCAGCAAGAUCCCACAUGCCUCGGAGCAACUAAGACCGUGUACCACCACUAUUGAGCCUGUGCUCCAGAGCCCAGGAGCUGCAAACACUGAGCCCACGUGCCACAACUAGUGAAGCCCACGUGGCCUAGAGCCUGUGCUCCACAACGAGAGAAGUCACCACAGUGAGAAGCCCACACACCACAACUAGAAUAGCCCCCGUUCUCUGCAACCAGAGAAAAGCCCAUGCAGCAAUGAAGAUUCAGUACAGCCAAAAUAAAUGAAUAUAAUUAUUAAAAAUGGUUUUAAAAA
ensembl:lncRNA